AGCAGCCGCGGUAAUUCCAGCUCCAAUAGCGUAUAUUAAAGUUGUUGCAGUUAAAAAGCUCGUAGUUGAAUUUCGGAAUUUGUCGGUUGGUCGGGCUUCACUGUCCGCACUGACCUGAUGGAUUCCUACCUUCUGAAUAACCAGCAUGCCAUUAAGUUAGUGCGUUGGGGAAGCAGAGCUAUUACCUUGAAAAAUUAGAGUGCUUAAAGCAGGCUUGUGCUUGAAUAGAUUAGCAUGGAAUAAUAAAAUAGGACGGCAUGGUUCUAUUUUGUUGGUUUCUAGGAUCACCGUAAUGAUUAAUAGGGAUAGUUGGGGGCAUUAGUAUUCAAUUGUCAGAGGUGAAAUUCUUGGAUUUAUUGAAGACUAACUUCUGCGAAAGCAUUUGCCAAGGAUGUUUUCAUUAAUCAAGAACGAAAGUUAGGGGAUCGAAGACGAUCAGAUACCGUCGUAGUCUUAACCAUAAACUAUGCCGACUAGGAAUCAAGACGAUUGUUAAUUUUUUAAUGUACUUCGUUUUACG
rnacentral:rRNA from 1 species